AGCAAAUUGACAGUAAAAUAAUUAUUCUCAAAACAUUUUUUCAACAGUUUUAUUAAGCAUCUUUCUACUGUAGUCAUUUUUAUUUCUUCUGCUCCAAAUUCUGUCAGCCACUUUUUUUUUUUUUUUUUUUUUUUCUGGCUUUACACUUAGCAACCCAUUAGGAAUGGAACUCAUUUUCAGUACACAAAAGGCUUUGGGACAGCAAAUUUCUUUAAUUUUAACACUCUCUCAGUAUCUGCUGCUUGACCAAAUAGAUAUAUUCGAACAAUAUUGGCUAUAAGAUAAAUUCUAUUUUGCUCUUGCUUACAUUAGAAUGCUGAGGAUGUGUUCCCAUGAGUUUCUCCCUCCUUGUACCCCACCGAAUGGAAUGUUAAAAAUACGGAGAAAGCAAUUUAUGCAGAUGAAGUCCCAACUCUGGCCAUGGCCAAUAUUAGCUGGAUAAUUCUUUGAAUCUGGCUAAUGUGGAAUCUUGCAAGGACAAAGAGGAUUUGCUCAUGAACUGGGCUCUAUUUCCCACUGGAGUCCAGAGGAAGCAGCAAGAAGAUGGCACAAAGACAGAGUCCUCCACUAGUGAGCCUCUUUAUCUUCCUUCUACAGAAGCUCUGUGCAGAAACAGCAACUCAGGCUGUCCCUUAAGCAGCUUCAUUGUCAAAGGCUCAAUAGAAUUCUCCUUCUGAACAAAGGGAGAUACAUUUCUUUAUCUGUCUAAUUAAUGCUUAGACUUAAAAAGAAUGUAUUCAGUCUACAGCCUAGAGAGGAUGAGCUACCUGAAAUAAAAAAGUAUUUUCCUUUGGAAGAAAAAUAAAAUGUUGAUGCUGUCUCUGCUGUAUGGAUUUUUACAUCAGUUAGGGAGCUUGAUAAAUAGAUACUAGAAAAAAAUUCCAGGAGGUCUAUUCUACCCCAGCCUAGACAUUCAGGCUCCAAUUCCCAUUAUCUAGCAGUCCAGUGGGUUGAAAUUGAGCAAAUGCAGAUCACUGUGAGAUACACUAAAUGUGUGUUGCACCAACCACUGUUUAAUAUGUGCAAUGCUUUCUUCCCUCACAGUUAUGCAUUUUCUAGUCUUGUGCCAAAAGACCAAUCAUCAAAAUAUAGUAUGCUGGUGGGGAGCAAAAACAAAUAUAGAAUGC
rnacentral:lncRNA from 1 species